rnacentral:rRNA from 1 species
CGACAGGUUAUCCGAGUGAUUUGUGCUAAACGAAUCUUUUGUUAGUCCUAGAAACACUAACGAAUAAGGGGUGGGCAAGUUCUGGUGUCAGCCGCCGCGGUAAAACCAGCACCUCAAGUGGUCAGGAUGAUUAUUGGGCCUAAAGCAUCCGUAGCCGGCUCUGUAAGUUUUCGGUUAAAUCUGUACGCUCAACGUACAGGCUGCCGGGAAUACUGCAGAGCUAGGGAGUGGGAGAGGUAGACGGUACUCGGUAGGAAGGGGUAAAAUCCUUUGAUCUAUUGAUGACCACCUGUGGCGAAGGCGGUCUACCAGAACACGUCCGACGGUGAGGGAUGAAAGCUGGGGGAGCAAACCGGAUUAGAUACCCGGGUAGUCCCAGCUGUAAACUAUGCAAACUCAGUGAUGCAUUGACUUGUGGUCAAUGCAGUGCUGCAGGGAAGCCGUUAAGUUUGCCGCCUGGGAAGUACGUACGCAAGUAUGAAACUUAAAGGAAUUGGCGGGAA